rnacentral:lncRNA from 1 species
CCAGGGACGCAGACAGGCGGCCACCAGGGCUGAGGCAUUUUGUUGUGUCAACACAUACGUACACGCUGCCGUCGUUGCCGUUACCGUCGUUACCGUCUGCUGCUACCGGGGCUCCUCUCGACAUGAACCUCUUCUGCUUCAGUUUGGAGGGUUCGACGGACAGUCUGUACCGGCCGGCGGAGCACAGCAAUGGCUCCCAGGACAGCGGCAAGCUUCCCAGCAAGCCGAGCAGCCCCAGGCCUCUGCGGGAGAGUGCCAAGUGGCGCGGCUCGGAGCCCUGCAUCGCCACGGUGGGCGUGAAGGAACAGAGUCGCACAUCAAGUUUAAAGAAGGCUAAAAGAAGGUAAGUUUGCAUGCACGUCUCACACGCUGACUGGUGUGGCAGUCUAGGGCUAAGCCUGACUAAUGGGAAAGGGAAACCAUGCUAAGCUCUAGAUAACCUCCGCUAAUGACUUAAGUAGAGGCCCCUAACGUGUUUGUCGUUAACAUUUGUCCCGCAGUAAGUUUCAGACUGGGCCGGGAGUUGGUGUCACAUGGUCAGGACCAAACUAGCUUUGAAAGCCUCAUCUUCUCCACCAUAGACCCCUGAUGUCAGGACUGACUCUGACACCACACUAACUGCUGUGCUUAGAAACAGAUAUGAACCGUGUAAUCAAUGUCAUCUAUGUAUAUCCAGACUGAUAUUUCAUUCCGGAUUUGAAUCCAGAAAUUUGAUUCCUGACUCUACUGUAUACCACUGAGAUAUAUUCCAUUUCUAGUACAGAGGUACUUGGUGUUGCUGAGAUGGUAUACUUCAGGCAGUAACCCAUGUACUCUCACUUCUUUAGAUUCAGUUCUUCAUUUAGAUUUUUUUAUUGACGUCUGGAGAGAUUUAGUAUAAUCAGGAAAAAAGGCAGUCUAGGUAGGGUCGGAACAUUUCAUCGCUCCCUCCAAAUCACCAACACACUUGACAAACAGGACCCACAAAUAAUAUUCCCAGGCAAAUUGAAAUACAUACAAAUAUAUUGUCUUAUAUAUAUUGUAUAUACCUUCUCUGUAUUGAGGUGGUAUUGGUUGUAGCUUUUAGCGCCAUCGUUCUCUUUAUUAUCAGCAUGAUUUGGUUCUCUAUCGUACUGUUUUCAAUAGAAUACCACACACAGUUUUGUCUCAAUCUCCAGUAACUCUCUGGGGGGUUAUUACAGGUCACACAUAGUUGAGGGGAGGUUAUCUACAGCCAACGAGGCUCUAGGUGAGUAUGACUUCCAUCGCUCCCCUCUGUUAUCCUCUGUUUUCCCUAUUCGUUCAUCAG